ACGCUCGACACCUACGGGAAGCAGCAGUGGGGAAUAUUGCACAAUGGGGGAAACCCGUGAUGCAGCGACGCCGCGUGAGCGAAGAAGUAUUUCGGUAUGUAAAGCUCUAUCAGCAGGGAAGAAACUGACGGUACCUGACUAAGAAGCAUCGGCUAAAUACGUGCCAGCAGCCGCGGUAAUCUGAGCGGGCUGGCAAGGC
rnacentral:rRNA from 1 species